AUUGAACUGAAGAGUUUGAUCCUGGCUCAGAUUGAACGCUGGCGGCAUGCCUUACACAUGCAAGUCGAACGGCAGCACGGGCUUCGGCCUGGUGGCGAGUGGCGAACGGGUGAGUAAUACAUCGGAACAUGUCCUGUAGUGGGGGAUAGCCCGGCGCAA
rnacentral:rRNA from 1 species